GCUGAGGGGACACCAGGGACAGUGAGCGUCCCGUAAGCCGAAGGCCCUCUAGCUGCAAGGCCACGCCCCUCCCCCACCUAAGCAGAUGUGGAUGGCGAGACCUUGGGGGGACCAGACCUUGGGGGGACCGCAGGACGGUGUGAAGGGCGCGAACAUUCUCAUUGGCCCCAGCAGUGGCUGAGGAGUGCGAAAGCAUUUCAAAGCCUGACCCAGGCACCUGCUUGAAUGGGCACAGUGGGCGGUAGCUCGCCCUGCCAGGCACUGCUUAAAAGAAAACCCCCGUGGGCUGGGGAUGCAGUUGGGGGCGAGCACUCGCCUGGCGUGAGCUAAACCCCUGGCCCAAGAUACUAUUUCUUUUAAAUUUGUGCUAUAGGGGAAUUGAAUCAGAAUCUUUGCACUGAGCUCCACCUUCAGCCUCUGUUUACUUUUAAUAUUGAUUUAUUUUUGUAGUUCAAGCUGGCCUUGAACUCACCUUGUAGCCCAGGCUGACCUUGAACUCAUGGCCAUCCUCCUGCCUCAGCCUCCCAGAGGCUGGAACUACAGGCAAGUGCCUGCUCUGAGCCUCGCUCCCAGCCCUGACAGGAACACCCACCGUCUCAAACUCCUACACAUCACUCAAAACACCCCCUGUAGUCACCUCCCCACGCUCCCGGUUACUGUGGGCCAGCUCUCUGCUCCAUGUCAUGAAGAGAGGCAACACAGAAGACCCCCAGCACCACAGAGGCAGAGAUGCAACAGGCCAGCACCCCAAUCCGGAGCAUUAGCGUUCCAUUCAGAGAGGUGGGAAAUCUUUGACACAGAUUUCUCCGGGGGUUUUCACAAGCUACCAGGAAUGUUUGGGGACUUCCUUGCCCGGUCUGCCUAUGAAUCAGUCACCAAGCUGCCUGAAGACUGAGGUCUGACACACUGCUUGGCCAGGUACCGUGGUGGCUGUUUGUACUGGGGAUGGGAGCUGGGGCUUUCCACCGAGCCACAUUCCCAGCCCCUUUAUUAUUAGUGUUUGAAAUUUUGAGAUAGAGUCUCACUAACUAGCCCAGGCUGCUCUUACACUUGGGAUCCUCCUGCCUCAGCUUCUCGAGUGCUGGGAUUAUAGUCCUAUAAUACCAGUUCCACUUUUCUGUUUUUUAAUUCCCUGAGUUUUGUCUUACUUUGUUCUGUUGUGAUUUUUUUUUUUUUGCCUUGGUAACAAAAUUUUCAAAGCUCAAAAAUCCUCAAAGCAGAGAAAUUCCCUCCCUGUACUCUCCCAAGGCCACAUGUGCACCCAAGCCGACUGUCAUUUCCAGAGUUUUCUUUUAAGGUUUCUGUUUUUUUGUUUUUGUUUUUGUUUUUAGACGAGAUCUCUCUAUGUAGUUCAGGCUAGCCUCGAACUCACCUCGAUCCUCCUGCCUCAGCCCCCUGAGCACUGGGAUGGCAGACAUGAGCCACCGCACCCGGCCAGGGCUCUAAGGGCAAACAGAAAGCCCCCCCGCCCCGGCCUCUGGCACCUGCCAAGGCAGAAGUGGCAUGCCACUCAUGCCCAGCAUAUUUUUCUUCUUUCCAAGGCCUGGCACACCUCGGAGCGCCUCGCCCCACACGCAAAGCAAGCACUCCUUUUCCCCUGGGAUGAUGGCCAGAGGGCCCUUCCUCCGCCCGGCCCUACACUGAGUGCCCUACACCCUUAAGCCCCCCACUCGGCUGUGGUGUGGACCGUGGAAGCCGCUGAGCGACAGGGCCCUGCCCAGCACACACCGGGCCCCGGGUUAGACCAGCUCCCCUUCAGGUCCCCUCUGGCCAGGGCCCGGGACUGGAUUUUUAUGUCACACAGAGGACACUUGCACAAGUCUCUUGGAGAACUGACCCCACCCCAGCACAGCUGUUACCAAUUCCCUUGAUUGUUGUCAAUAUAUGAAAAAUGUUGUCCCGGGGCUGGUUUGAAAUUGCAUCUUAAAAAAAUAAUAAUGAUAAAUUGCA